AUGAGGACAGGAGGUUCCCAGUUCUGGUAGUCCGUCAUCCAGUUGCUCCCGGUUCUCCGCAUUGGGACCUCCAUUUCGGUCGGCUCUGGGUCUUCCACCUUGUUUUGGUUCGACGAGUGGGCUGGGGACUCCCCUUUCGCUGCCAGGUUCCCAGACCUGUUCUCCAUUGCGGUGGAGCCUUGGAUAUCCAUUGAGUCGGCCCUUAUUUACUUAGGGCGUCUCGCGUUCCGGCGACCUUUUGGCCCCCCGGAAACCAUCUCCUGGCAGGAACUCUUGGAAACGGUUGCCCUCCACGAGCCUCAUUUGUUGCAGCCUCAGGACCGCCUGCCCUGGCGCCUCGAGCCCUCGGGCCGGUUCUCCAUGAAGUCCAUAUACAAGGCCAUCGCCCCCUCCCCUGGACCGGCUGCCCUUGAGAUGAUCUGGGUGAUCCGUGUGCCCCUCAAGAUCGGGAUAUUCAUGUGGCAAUGGAUCUGUGGGCGGCUUCCCUCUGGCGUUGAGGUGUUAAAACGAAAUGGCCCGGGUGAUGGGAUGUGUCCCCUUUGCGAGAUGGAGGAAACCUCGAACCACAUCUUCUUCUCGUGCGUUUCCACCCAGUUCCUCUGGAGUUGCCUCCGUGAGGUGGUCAGGGCUAGUUGGUGCAACACCAAUUUCCCAGACCUCCUCGCCGAGGUCCAGGCCUCCCCCCCCCCCGUUAGGCUGCCACAUUAG
rnacentral:rRNA from 1 species